AGGCUGAGAGAACUUCUGAGAAGGUUUCAGAAGACUAGAAUUGUCCUGGUUCAAAGGAUCAGAGAGAUUUCCGGAAGCCAGGUGUCCAGAAUUCCUUAUGUGUUGGUCUUUUUCCAGAUGCCCUAAGACCCAGGAGAAACAAGCAAUUAAGUAACUGAGCUGCCUCUAGUGAACUAGGGUAUUGGGGGACAAACAACCAAGACCAUCUCUCUAGCAUGUCCCAUAGUAAUCAUGUUUUGUUUCAUUGGGCCUGUUAAGAAGAUGUAAUUCAUAUCAUUGUAAUCCAUCCAGGAUGUUAGUAAUAAGUAAGCCAUCCAAUAUCCUUGAAUUAGUUUUUUGUUUAUGUUUCUCCUCAAUGGAACAAGAUAACUUUUGUUUUCUGUCAAAUUUUAACUGCAGCUUAAAAAUUAUUAAAAAAAAAAAAACAAUGAAAUAUUCUUAUGUCUUACCAUUAAAAUUGGACUUUUAAGCUGGGGGAAGGGACAGGAAGGAAACUCCUUCCAAACACUACCACUUACUGGUCUUCACUGAAAGUAGGAGAAAGAAAAUUGUCCUGGAGGUGAAUAGGAAAAACUCUCCCUCUUUCCAGAACCCUUGCAUUAUCCCCAGAUGAAUCCGGGUUAGGUUAUUAGGUCACUACUUGGAUUCAAAUUAGAAGCACCUGAAAUGAGAUGAAAAGAUCAAGAAUAUAUGCCCUGUCUUUAGGAAAAUAAAGUAGUUCUGGUUAUUUACUUUCCAAAAACACAAAGAAAGCUAUUACUAAAUAGGACUAUUAUUUAUUAAUGGAAAAAAAAAACUCAAGAUUGGUGGGACUGCUGAAUCCCAAAGCCUAUUUUAUUUUUUUCUUAACUGAGAAAUUAGGCCCAAUUCCUUUGAAACUCCCACUUCUUUUGAUUACAGUGAGAGUCAGUUCUUGAGGAACUGAUUACCUUGUUCACAAUGUGGAAAUCAUAUAGCCAGCUUUAUAUGUUAGCUCUCAUGCUAACACAUCCUGAGUUAAUGCUCUCAGUAUAAACUAGGCUGAGAAGGUCAAUGAUUGGCUGCAUCAGCUAGAAAGAA